AACUGCUGUAAAUUUACAGCCAAUAUCCAACAGUAAAAUACCGUAAUUUCAAUAAACAGUUAAAUCCUGUAAAUUUACAGCUAAUGGUCGGUAAAUUAAUUACUUGCAGUAAAUUUACAGCACUUAACAGUAAAAAGGUUUGUUCCUGAGAAAAACGGCCUAAUACUGUAAAGAACAGCACAUGGGGGCGGAGCAUCUUCAACGAGCCACAUUCAAACUACUGCUGAAGUGCUGCGGUCAACCAACGGAAUCUCUUAAGAAGGAAACUGUUCAAGGCUCUAAGGACCUUUGAGAUAACUGAAAUCGUUUGGCGAAGUGAUAUGGAACUGUAAUGCGGUCAAAUCCUCAAGAUGCCUGGAACUACUGCCUUGAACAGCUGUAUUAUAAACAGGUGAAAAUCCGGAGCAAUGGAUGAAACGGUGGAUGAUCAGCCUGGAAGGACUUGCUGCAUUGUUCUCUCUGUAUUAUAUCUUUAAUUUGCUGUACCAGGAGGAAGCAGCAUCCACACUGGAAUUCCUUCAAAGUGAACUCAGUGCAGGAUUCCUUGUUUACAUCCGAAUGCCAACACAGUAUUGGCCGAAGCUGAACACGUGAGCAGACAUACAUGCAUGUGAUGUUUACACAGGAAAAAUAUCUUAAUUUGUGUUCCGAAGAUGAACAAAGGUCUUACGGAUGUUUUGUUGGAAUAAAUCCGGAAAAGGGGACCAAGGCUGCACGGGGAAAAGUUACAUCCAAAAAAACUGGGAAAAAAAGAAAAAGAAAGAAAACCAUAACUGUCAACACCAAAGUGUCAAACCUCUUAAAGAGACUUAUAGACUUUGAGUGGGACUUCAUUUAAAAAGUGUAGUUGACACACCCCACACCCAUGCAGGUUGGUUUCUGAAAAAUGUGCUGGCCUGGUGAGAUAUGUUGAUGGGUGUUUAUUUUUUAUAUGCACUGAAUAUUACUUGAAUACUUUUACAUUUUUAUCGGAAUAAAAAAAACACUAACUUGG